rnacentral:rRNA from 1 species
AUCUACUAUAUUGCCACCCUGAACAAGCCUGAUCCUGUCUGAUCUUGGAAGCUAAGCAGGGUCAGGCCUGGUUAGUAUUUGAUGGGUGACCACCUAGGAAGACCAGGUGCUAUAAGCG